GGAAAGAUGAAAAGAACUUUGAAAAGAGAGUUAAACAGUACGUGAAAUUGUUGAAAGGGAAACGAUUGAAGUCAGUCGUGCUGGCGCGAAAUCAACCCUCUCGUCGAGAGGUCACAUGGCGUGGCGAGCCUCAAAACCGUCACGAAGCGUGAACUCUUGGCGAAAAGGAGCACUUUCGUGUCCGCUGGUUAACAUCAAUUUCGAACGUCAUAAAAAGGCUGGAGGGAUGUGGCUCCUUCGGGAGUGUUAUAACCUUUAGCGGAAUGUGGUGGUCGGGAUUGAGGAUUGCAACGAAUACCUUUAGGGCUGUUCCACCUGGCUUCUCUUUGGUAUCCUGGUGACGACAGCUUGCUGACGUUGUUAGGAUUCGCCUUUGAACAGGCUAGAGUGUGAGCAAAUUCGUUAAGGAUGUUAACGUAAUGGCUUUAAACGACCGUCUUGAAACACGGACCA
rnacentral:rRNA from 1 species